AUUGAAGUGGCAGAAUUAUGUGUUGAAUUUAAGCUUCAAUUAUGUGGGUUAGUAUAAUCCUCCUUUAAUA
rnacentral:tRNA from 1 species